AUGGACAUGAGGACCUCUUCUCAGCUCUUGGGGCUCCUGCUGCUCUGGCUCCCAGGUUUCAGAUGUGACAUCCAGAUGACCCAGUCUCCAUCCUUCCUGUCUGCAUCUCCAGGAGACAGAGUAUCCAUCACUUGCCGUGCCAGUCAGGGCAUUAGCGAUUAUUUACACUGGUAUCAGCAGAAACCAGGGAAUGCUCCAAAGCUUCUGAUCAGUUUUGCAAAGAAUUUAGCCUCUGGGAUUCCAUCAAGGUUCAGUGGGAGUCAAUCUGGGACAGAGUUCACACUCACCAUCAGCAGCCUGCAGCCUGAGGAUUUUGCCACAUAUUACUGUCAGCAGGGUAUUACUGAUAACACAGAUGGUUAUUCUUUGCUCUGA